rnacentral:lncRNA from 1 species
UCACAAGGUUUGCACUGCAAGAAGAUCCCUACUUUAGUGCAUUUUUCAGGGUUUCCGGUAGCUGAACUUCCUUUUAAAUGGAAAAAGAGACUAAAAUAAGGAUUGUUUGCAGUGUGGGGAAUAAAUGGCUGUGGAACAGAUAUAUACAAAGAGAUAUUUUGAAGAGCAAAUAGUUUCGGAAUAUUAUCUUUUGUGUUCCACGGAAAAAGGAAAACUGGUUGGAAUCGACACGAGGGUGAACUAUCCCUUUGACGAGUUUCUUUUAGGUUUGAUGGUCAUGAUAAUGAUCUCCACAAUGAGCUUGAAACUGGUUUCUCAAUCCGAGGAUGCUGGAAACAUCUGGAAGGUUUCUCUUGUGCUGGUGGGUUUGGGUUGUUUUACUCGACGGGGAGGAACAGAAGAAGAAAUGAUGCUAAGGGUCGCGUGGAGAGAAGGGGCGAGAAGGGUCACCUGUGUUUGACCGGCUGAGCAUGAAAGCAGAGAAGAAGAAAAGACAAAGAGUGAGCAUCGAGGCGAAUUAAAGCAAAAACUGUCCUCAGAGUCACACAGAGGGAAGACAAACCCCACGAGUCCUCUUUACCAAAUUCAAACCUCUACAUAACUUCCAUUAAUACAAUACAUUUCAGUAUCACACAAUAAUUCAGAUCUUAUUUAUUAAGAAUCAUGAAGACAUGUAAUAUUGUUGCCACACAAAGUAUUUGUUCACUAAAGUCACGCCUAAAAUGUCUAAAUGCGAUUCAUUUUAUCAAAUUGAUUAGCUUUUUAAAACUUUUCAGAUUAUUUUGGAAUCUCUGUAUUUUAUUUAGAUUAUGAAAUAAUUGCUUUUAAUAUAUUUUUUUUAAGUCAACUGUAUGUUAACAUGUAUAAAGACUUACAAUUAAUACUAUAAAAUGUGUAAAACGUUAUUCUGGAAAAUAUAUACUAACAUUAUAUCAUUUUUUUUUACUAACUUUAUUAUUUUAGUAAAAAUAAUACAUUUUAAAUCUUAUUUUCGAUCAUAUUUAUUUAUUUUCCUAGUACUCUCGCUCUGGAAUACUUAAUUUUGAUUGGUCAAUCAUGUUAUUUAAUAUGCCUGAAUAAUCAGCGCUCAUUUAUUAUUAUUUAAUGAUUCCCUUACAAUAAUAAAAUUUUAACAAAUAAAGUGCAACAAAAAUAUAUUUCACUGUAACCUUCAACAAAAACAUUUUAUUUUCAAUCUUCACUCAUCUUGUAUCACUCCGCUGUCCCGCUUUGCUGCGUUUCAAAUUUGGCGCCAUCUUGCGUCUCAAACGGUUAUUGUUCGGUUAAAAAUGCCGUCAGUGGAUUUUUUGUUGUUAUUUUUAUGGAGACAGUUAAAACUUUUGACAUUUUUGUUUGUUUUAAGUUGGAAUUACCUCAGAGACGAUGGAGCGCACGCGAACAUGUGUGUUUUCUACGUAAGUCCGGUUUAAAUGUCAUAUAAGGAAACAUCAGGGGCUUGUCUCGACUCGACAACAGGUAAGACUCGGAUUAUUAUCUGCCGCCGUGCAGUAAACAACAUUAUCAACUGUCAAACAAAGUGUUUAGUGAUUUUAAAAGCUGAUUUAGACUAGUUUAAACUCGGACGUGUUUUGCUUUAGUGAUGAGCGCUUUCAAAACACUAAAGUUACUACAUAACUAACGUUACUUAACUACUAGAUUCGAAUCUUUAAAUAUGAAUCAGUGGUUCGAAGUCAUUUGAUUCAUUACGAACGUUUCGAAGUGUCGAUGAAAGAUAUCGGUGAACACAUGAACCAGUGUGUCAUGUUUUACUGAUCUAGGGUCAGCUUUAUCAUUUAAAAUCACUGUUGAUGACGUAUGUACGUAUGUACGUGUCUCUAAUAAUCAUUCUGACCAAACUUUGAUAAAUAAAUAACAGAACACAAAAUAUACACAUACUUAAUAUUGAAUAAUUUGUAGACUAACGUAUAUUUAAUUGAGUAGCAUUACACAUAAAGAACCAGCAGGUGUCGCCAGCGUGCACUGCGAAAAAGUGAAUCAUUUUAUGAAACACAUGAUUCAAUUGAAUCAGUUGUGUUUUCCUCAUAACACCCAUGACUCUGUCACUAUCGAACGUCAUGACAUUUAGACAUUUAAUUGUGGCUUAAGUGUAAUUUAUUUUAUUGUUGACCAUUGUCAUUUCCGUCAGUGACUUUCUUUGCCUACAUACACUAAGAGACUCGUGAUUCAGAGAGUGAAAGACUCCUGUGUAAUAAUGACUGUGGAACUAUGGGAAAGUGUAUUACCCUUCAGGGAGUCUGGUGUCGUCUUCUGGCCCGUGAGCUCAGGGACCACUGCAGCCCGACACACAUACGAAACAAAAACAAGAAGAGCCAAAGUAAUGAACAGAAAUACAGAUGCACAUGAGCUCAUUCCAGAAGAUGCAGUUAUCACGAGACUCCAGAUCACACUUUGGAGAGAUAAUGCAUCCUUAAACAGCAGGAAAUCAAGCAUUUGAGAGCCAAAAGAAGCUUAGAGAAACAGAACGUAAAUAAGAAAUGCAUUUAUCAAACCCUGUGCUCAUUCAUCUAACUUUUCUAGUCAAGCUCAUUCUUUAAGUUAAGGAGGAUAAACAGUGAUGUUAAACUCAUCAACCAGCUGUCAAAGAGUUUGAGUUCAUAAAAAUGUUGUGUUGUAGAUCUAAGUUUCCUAAAUAAGGGCUUCCAGCUCUCAAUAUUCCUCAAGUAUGUGUCCUUUUCUAAAUUUUGGUCUGACGAUGACAGAACUAUGUGAAAUGAAAGGUUAAACUGUGACAGAGGGUUGUAGAGUUGUAUGAUGUGUGUGAGUUGAGGAGCAGGAAGGGGAGGAGUUCUGGUGGAGUGGGCGUGUCUGUCCGUGUCUGUCCUCGCUGUCUGUCACAAGGUUUGGGAGGGGCUAAUAGUCUAAGAGGGAGGAGUCUGUGGGUCGGUUGGGUCGAGUAGGUGAUGCUGGGGGUCGUCGGCUGCCAUGGAAACACAGAGAGAAGAUGGAUGAGUAACACACACACACACACACACACACACACGGACACAGCAAACAUCCAAAAAAUUAUGUUCAUUAAACGUGAAAGAAUUUCGUUCACAUGAGAAAGGAUAAAUAUUUUGCACUGAGUAAUUUUCUCUCAUUAUAGAGUUCAUGAAAGUAACAAUACAGUAAAUUACUGAAAGCAGCAUCAUUCAGGAUAUUUAAUCUCAUAGUUUUGCCAGUGUUAUGAAUCAAAUAUGUCUUUUCAUUAUAUUAAUAACUUUUUAAUAGAAUGUAUUUAAAAUAAAUUCAAACUUUAUUUAUUUAUAAAAAAAAAACUGAAAUUGCAUUUAUUAAAU